GGGAAUGUGGCUUAGUGGUAGAGUGCUUGCCUUGCAUACAUGAAGCCAUGGGUUCAAUCCCUCAGUAUCA
rnacentral:tRNA from 1 species